rnacentral:rRNA from 1 species
AGCGAACGCUGGCGGCAGGCCUAACACAUGCAAGUCGAGCGAGUGGAUUCCCUUCGGGGAUGAAGCUAGCGGCGGACGGGUGAGUAACACGUGGGCAACCUGCCUUAUAGAGGGGGAUAGCCUUCCGAAAGGAAGAUUAAUACCGCAUAACAUCAGAUUAUCGCAUGGUAGACUGAUCAAAGGAGCAAUCCGCUAUAAGAUGGGCCCGCGUCGCAUUAGCUAGUUGGUGAGGUAACGGCUCACCAAGGCGACGAUGCGUAGCCGACCUGAGAGGGUGAUCGGCCACAUUGGGACUGAGACACGGCCCAGACUCCUACGGGAGGCAGCAGUGGGGAAUAUUGCACAAUGGGGGAAACCCUGAUGCAGCAACGCCGCGUGAGUGAUGAAGGCCUUCGGGUUGUAAAGCUCUUUGAUCAGGGACGAUAAUGACGGUACCUGAAGAACAAGCCACGGCUAACUACGUGCCAGCCGCCGCGGUAACAC